rnacentral:rRNA from 1 species
GACUUCAAAGCGCACCACAUUCCACAAAGUGUUGUUGAGAGCAAGCGUGAGGAGUUCCGCAAUCUCAAGCAAGGCAACAUGUCUGUGUAUCAAUACAACAUCCAGUUCCAGAAACUUGCUCGCUUCGCUAAACAAGACGUUCCUGAUGAAAAGAGCAUGAUCUAUCACUUCAGAGGUGGCCUUAGAGAGGAUCUGCAGUUAGCUCUCGUUCUUGUUGAGCCUACUCAGUUUGAUCAAUUCUACAAUAUGGCACUGAAGCAAGAGGCUGCUCAGCUCAAGUGUGAGGCUUCUAAGAAGAGAGUCAGAGAGGCAGUUCAGUCUUCUUCUUCCUCACUUGUGGCAGCUAAGCAACAGAAGUUCUUGUUGCCUCCUCCUCCUCCGUUUCGUCAGCCUUAUCAGCAGAAGAACAAAGGUGGC